UACAGAGGGUGCAAGCGUUGUCCGGAAUCACUGGGCGUAAAGGGCGCGUAGGCGGCCUGAUAAGUCGGGGGUGAAAUUCUGCGGCUUAGCCGCAGGACGGCCUUCGAGACUGUCGGGCUUGAGCACGGUAGAGGCUGGUGGAAUUCCCGGUGUAGCGGUGGAAUGCGUAGAGAUCGGGAAGAACAUCGGUGGCGAAGGCGGCCAGCUGGGCCGUUGCUGACGCUGAGGCGCGACAGCGUGGGGAGCAAACAGG
rnacentral:rRNA from 1 species